rnacentral:rRNA from 1 species
UACGUAGGGGGCAAGCGUUGUCCGGAAUUAUUGGGCGUAAAGCGCGCGCAGGCGGUUCUUUAAGUCUGGUGUUUAAGCCCAGGGCUCAACCUUGGGACGCACUGGAAACUGGGGGACUGGAGUGCAGGAGAGGAAAGUGGAAUUCCACGUGUAGCGGUGAAAUGCGUAGAGAUGUGGAGGAACACCAGUGGCGAAGGCGACUUUCUGGCCUGUAACUGACGCUGAGGCGCGAAAGCGUGGGGAGCAAACAGG